UUUUGCUAUACACAUAUAAGGAAAAUCAAUGACCCCCCGGGGCGGGGCCAAUUUUGACCCCAGGGCUUUUAUUUGAACAAACUUUGUAGACACUCACUAGAACAUGUUUCAUGCUUAAUAUCUUAGCUCUAGCUCUUUGAGUUCUUUAAAAGAAGAUUUUUAAGUUUUUACUAUGUGCAUAUAGGGAAAAUCAAUGACGCCCUGGGGCGGGGCCAAUUUUUAACCCAGGGCUUUUAUUUGAACAAACUUGGUAGACACUCACUAGAAGAUGUUUCAUGCCAAAUAUCUAAGCUCUAGCUCUUAGGGUUUUCUAAAAGAAGAUAUUUAAAGUUUUUUCUUUCGGUUGCCAUGGCAACCAGAGUUCUGCAUGGAAUUAAAUUCUUUGAACAAUUUUUAAAGGUGACCACCAAAGGAACAUUCCUGUGAAGUUUGGAUGAAAUUGGCUUAGUGGUUUAUGAGGAGAUGUCAUUUAAAGUAAAAGUUUACGGACGGACGACGGACGGACGGACAUCCAGCCGAAAUGGAAUAAGGGGCCAUUUCCUUUGUUACUUUCUAUUGUUUAAUAGAGGGCCAAUGGCCCCUUACUCUAUUGUUACGGAAUGAACUCUAUUGUUCUCUUUUGUUCUGUUUACAGUUAGAUGGCCCCCUAUCCCUAUUCGGUAGUGCGGACGGACGGACGCCGGACGAAAAGCGAUCACAAAAGCUCACCCUGUCACUUUGUGACAGGUGAGCUAAAAA